GACGAACGCUGGCGGCGUGCCUAAUACAUGCAAGUAGAACGCUGAAGGAGGAGCUUGCUUCUCUGGAUGAGUUGCGAACGGGUGAGUAGCGCGUAGGUAACCUGCCUGGUAGCGGGGGAUAACUAUUGGAAACGAUAGCUAAUACCGCAUAAGAGUAGAUGUCGCAUGACAUUUGCUUAAAAGGUGCAAUUGCAUCACUACCAGAUGGACCUGCGUUGUAUUAGCUAGUUGGUGAGGUAACGGCUCACCAAGGCAACGAUACAUAGCCGACCUGAGAGGGUGAUCGGCCACACUGGGACUGAGACACGGCCCAGACUCCUACGGGAGGCAGCAGUAGGGAAUCUUCGGCAAUGGACGGAAGUCUGACCGAGCAACGCCGCGUGAGUGAAGAAGGUUUUCGGAUCGUAAAGCUCUGUUGUAAGAGAAGAACGAGUGUGAGAGUGGAAAGUUCACACUGUGACGGUAGCUUACCAGAAAGGGACGGCUAACUACGUG
rnacentral:rRNA from 1 species